CAAUAGCGUAUAUUAAAGUUGUUGCAGUUAAAAAGCUCGUAGUCGGAUCUCGACCACAGCUGUGCGGUCCGCUGAGUGCGGCUACUGCACGGUUGGGUCUCUCAUCUGGUCUGUCCCAUGCUACUCUUCAGUGAGUGGCAUGGGUAGCCGGAACGUUUACUUUGAGAAAAUCAGCGUGCUCAAAGCAGGCUUACUGCUCGAAUAGUAGUGCAUGGAAUGAUAGAAUAGGACCUUCGGCCCUAUUUGUUGGUUUUUGGACCGAGGUAAUGGUUAAUAGAGACAGACGGGGGCAUUCGUACUGCGGUGUUAGAGGUGAAAUUCGAAGAUCGCCGCAAGACGAACAACAGCGAAAGCAUUUGCCAUGGAUGUUUUCAUUGA
rnacentral:rRNA from 1 species